UACGUAGGGUGCAAGCGUUAAUCGGAAUUACUGGGCGUAAAGCGUGCGCAGGCGGUUCGCCAAGUCAGGUGUGAAAUCCCCGGGCUUAACCUGGGAAUUGCGCUUGAAACUAGCGGGCUUGAGUGCGGCAGAGGGGGGUGGAAUUCCACGUGUAGCAGUGAAAUGCGUAGAGAUCUGGAGGAACACCAGUGGCGAAGGCGGCAUCCUGGCCCUGUCCUGACGCUCAGGGGCGAAAGCGUGGGGAGCAAACCGG
rnacentral:rRNA from 1 species